rnacentral:rRNA from 1 species
UACGAAGGGGGCUAGCGUUGUUCGGAAUUACUGGGCGUAAAGGGCGCGUAGGCGGCGUGUCAAGUCAGGCGUGAAAGCCCCGGGCUCAACCUGGGAACCGCGCUUGAGACUGGCAUGCUCGAGUUCGGGAGAGGAUGGUGGAAUUCCCAGUGUAGAGGUGAAAUUCGUAGAUAUUGGGAAGAACACCGAUGGCAAAGGCAGCCAUCUGGACCGACACUGACGCUGAGGCGCGAAAGCGUGGGGAGCAAACAGG